rnacentral:rRNA from 1 species
AGCUCGUGUCGUGAGAUGUUGGGUUAAGUCCGUAACGAGCGCAACCCUUGUCCUUAGUUACCAGCACGUUAUGGUGGGCGACUCUAAGGAGACUGCCGGUGACAAACCGGAGGAAGGUGGGGAUGACGUCAAGUCAUCAUGGCCCUUACGGCCUGGGCUACACACGUGCUACAAUGGUCGGUACAAAGGGUUGCCAAGCCGCGAGGUGGAGCUAAUCCCAUAAAACCGAUCGUAGUCCGGAUCGCAGUCUGCAACUCGACUGCGUGAAGUCGGAAUCGCUAGUAAUCGUGGAUCAGCCAAGCCGCGGUGAAUACGUUCCCGGGCCUU